rnacentral:lncRNA from 1 species
CUUUAUCUGCCCUUAACCACAGUCUCUUAAGGCUGGAUACCAUAGCCAUAUAUGGAUCUCUAUAGGAAAAGAAAGUGAAUAUCUUUCUGGGGUCCCCACAAAUGCUGUAAGCUCACCUCCAACUCAGCUCAGAUUCAGAGGAAAGGAUCUUUGCUUUGCUAGAGUCCAACCAGACCAGAAAAACAUAAAGAGAUACAUCAACACAGUGCAUUUACCUCCCUGCCACAGGAUUGGAGACAUUGGAUAAAAUGGCUCAUGUGCUGUGUACUGACAUGAGGUGUGGGCAAAUGAAGGGCAAUGUGAUAUCAACAACGCAAACAACCAAGAAAAAGCAGCAACAACAUCAAUAAUAACAAAACAAGCAGGCACCAUCACAAGGACAGUCCAUAGCUCCAUCAAGCCAGAAGUCUCUGGAGACUGUGCAUGUGAUGACUCUAAUGGAAUUCAUCAUCACUGCUAACUAAACCUCUGAAGCUGUAGUCUGCAAUCAAGAGAGGAUAAAGUGGCUCUUGCUGAAGUGAAGACCCCCAUCAUCUAUAUUCUCUGAAUGCUUCGUCAGGCAGAGACACAAGACUAUAUAACCAAUGAGCACUUUUUUUAGUCUAAUAGUUUUCCAGAUUUAUUCUCUGUCCAAUAAUAUGUGGCCUUAAGGGUCUUGGUAGUUCUCAGAAUUAACUGUGUAUGUGACUGACUAGAGGCAAUUUCAGUAGUAAAUUCCCCUGGCUUUAAUGCAGGAAUUGCUAAUUCAGUGAGCCUGGAGAAAAAAACCGUGUUAUUCACAUAAUGUUCUCAAAAAGUAUAACACAGAGAAAAAACUUCACAGAAUUACAUGUGUAUAGUUCAUGUAACUAUCACCAAGUGUACACACUCACUCGAUACUUUUUGUUUUAUAUUUUGGAAAGAUUUGUCUAUCUCAAGAUUCUCCUUUUUUCAGAAUUGAUUCUCUGUGAUUCUGAAGCAUGUGCAGAGCAAGAGGCUCCACUUUUGAGUAUGUGAAAGUUAUUAUAUAAUGUCAAAUAUCAGAAAAAAUGUUUCAGAUCUGAGUUGAUGACAGUGAGGUUUGGUCCAGCACUAAGAAUGUCUUACAUAAAGCAUUAAGUUAAAAGGGAGGGAUUUAAGAAUUAAAGUCUGAUAUCAAUGCCUGUUAAGAAUGGAUGGGGUUGAUGUAGAGUUAGUGAAGAGUGAGUAAAGUCACAUUGCCAUUUCAAGGUCAAAAUCUGGGGAAGCAGACUCGAGCAGGUUUUAAGUUUCUGAUUCAGAGCUGCAAGGGGAUAGGGAUAACGGAAUAGAAUGCUAGAUUGAGUAGAGACUGGAGAAUUAAGGUGUAGGCCAUACUAUGGGGCGGUAUUCUCCACUUUGCCAUUUGAUCAUGAUAUACUCCUUUUAUUUCCCCUCCCUCCUUGCUUUAAUGAAGUGUUUUAAACCCCCUGCUAACCUGCAGUCUUACCACAUUUUAGAAAGCUGUCCUGUUGUUAUAUUUAGG